rnacentral:rRNA from 1 species
UACGUAGGGGGCAAGCGUUGUCCGGAAUCAUUGGGCGUAAAGAGCGUGUAGGCGGCCCGUUAAGUCCGCUGUGAAAGUCCAGGGCUCAACCCUGGGAUGCCGGUGGAUACUGUCGGGCUCGAGUCCGGAAGAGGCGAGUGGAAUUCCUGGUGUAGCGGUGAAAUGCGCAGAUAUCAGGAGGAACACCAAUGGCGAAGGCAGCUCGCUGGGACGUGACUGACGCUGAGACGCGAAAGCGUGGGGAGCAAACAGG